rnacentral:rRNA from 1 species
UGAUGUGAAAGCCCCUGGCUCAACCAGGGAGGGUCAUUGGAAACUGGAGAAUUUGAGUGCAGAAGAGGAAAGUGGAAUUCCAUGUGUAGCGGUGAAAUGCGUAGAUAUAUGGAGGAACACCAGUGGCGAAGGCGACUUUCUGGUCUGUAACUGACGCUGAGGCUCGAAAGCAUGGGGAGCAAACAGGAUUAGAUACCCUGGUAGUCCAUGCCGUAAACGAUGAGUGCUAAGUGUUGGAGGGUUUCCGCCCUUCAGUGCUGCAGCUAACGCAUUAAGCACUCCGCCUGGGGAGUACGACCGCAAGGUUGAAACUCAAAGGAAUUGACGGGGGCCCGCACAAGCGGUGGAGCAUGUGGUUUAAUUCGAAGCAACGCGAAGAACCUUACCAGGUCUUGACAUCCUUUGACCACUCUAGAGAUAGAGCUUUCCCUUCGGGGACAAAGUGACAGGUGGUGCAUGGUUGUCGUCAGCUCGUGUCGUGAGAUGUUGGGUUAAGUCCCGCAACGAGCGCAACCCUUAUUAUUAGUUGCCAGCAUUCAGUUGGGCACUCUAGUGAGACUGCCGGUGAUAAACCGGAGGAAGGUGGGGAUGACGUCAAAUCAUCAUGCCCCUUAUGACCUGGGCUACACACGUGCUACAAUGGAUGGUACAACGAGUCGCAAAACCGCGAGGUUAAGCUAAUCUCUUAAAGCCAUUCUCAGUUCGGAUUGUAGGCUGCAAU